GGGAGAGUUUGAUCCUGGCUCAGGACGAACGCUGGCGGCAUGCCUAAUACAUGCAAGUCGAACGCGACCAGCCGGUGCUUGCACUGGCGAAGUCGAGUGGCGAACGGGUGAGUAACACGUGAGAAACCUACCCUGGAGUGGGGAAUAACUCGAAGAAAUUCGAGCUAAUACCGCAUACCUUCUUACCGUCGAAUGGUGGUUUGAAGAAAGAUUUAUCGCUCUGGGAGGGUCUCGCGGCCUAUCAGCUAGUUGGUGAGGUAACGGCUCACCAAGGCAUCGACGGGUAGCUGGUCUGAGAGGACGAUCAGCCACACUGGAACUGAGACACGGUCCAGACUCCUACGGGAGGCAGCAGUAGGGAAUCUUGCGCAAUGGGCGAAAGCCUGACGCAGCAAUGCCGCGUGCGGGACGAAGGCCCUAGGGUCGUAAACCGCUUUCAGUAGGGACGAAAAUGACGGUACCUGCAGAAGAAGCUCCGGCCAACUACGUGCCAGCAGCCGCGGUAA
rnacentral:rRNA from 1 species